AUUGAACGCUGGCGGCAUGCCUUACACAUGCAAGUCGAACGGUAACGCGGGGCAACCUGGCGACGAGUGGCGAACGGGUGAGUAAAGUAUCGGAACGUGCCCAGUAGUGGGGGAUAGCCCGGCGAAAGCCGGAUUAAUACCGCAUGAGACCUACGGGUGAAAGCGGGGGAUCGCAAGACCUCGCGCUAUUGGAGCGGCCGAUAUCAGAUUAGGUAGUUGGUGGGGUAAAGGCCUACCAAGCCGACGAUCUGUAGCGGGUCUGAGAGGACGACCAACCACACUGGGACUGCGACACGGCCCAGACUCCUACGGGAGGCAGCAGUGGGGAAUUUUGGACAAUGGGCGCAAGCCUGAUCCAGCCAUGCCGCGUGCGGGAAGAAGGCCUUCGGGUUGUAAACCGCUUUUGUCAGGGAAGAAAUCUUCUGGGUUAAUACCUCGGGAGGAUGACGGUACCUGAAGAAUAAGCACCGGCUAACUACGUGCCAGCCGCCGCAGUAACAC
rnacentral:rRNA from 1 species